CUCUGGUCAUCGUCAACCACAGCAGCCUGAGUCCCUUUUUGGCAGACAGCUCCUUCGUUCGGUCUCCGGGUUCCUUCUCCACCAUCACCAGUGUCUAGGCUCCAUCGGGGGGGAAUAUGUCUGGCUUCUCUACCCCUUUAAAAUAUUUUUAACGACGGAGUCUAAUCCCGAAAGACUCUGGUGCCAUCUUGUGGGGAGCCAGG